AGAUGAUAGCACCGCCGACGUUAAUGGCAGCUGCGACCCAGAACACCUUCCUCCAACCCUCCAGAGAGUGCUGACAAGCAGAGAGGAAGACUGUAACAUCCUAAACUAUCGGUGAACAGUGAUUCUCGUAUACUUACAUCUUGUGUGAAGUAGCCUGUAGCAAUCGGUCCCACGACUCCAGGAAUGGUCCCAAAUGUGUUGGUGAUUCCCAGAAGAAAUCCUGCGUAGCUGCAGAAGACGAAAAAAGUAAAGGUGCCCAUGAUUUGUGAUAAUAUGUAAAAGGACACUCCUUUAAAUGAUUAUCAGUGACUUUUCAUAGAUAACACAAAGGCAUCACAAUAAACACCCUUAACACAUCAUGUCUCUGAGUAGAAGGCUGUAACACCCACCGAGGAGCGAUGUCCAUCUGGUUGAUGAACACUCCAGAGCCGCUGAUCCCUCCUGUGGCUGUGGAGCAGGUGAGGAAGGUGACGGUGAGGAUGUGGUUGCAGCCGGCGUAGCUCACUGCCACGAGGAAGGCGGCAGGAAGCACCAUCCCUGCAGAGACGUGUCUUUAUUAUUACACACGUCUGCUCUGUCCUUUACUGAACGCGUCCAGUCUCCACUGUAAAUGUGGAUGUUAACACCAACUUAAACACACCGGCAACCCUUUAACCCGUGCUGCUGGUCCUGUGACAGUCAGCUGACACCAAAGGAGUCUCAAACAGACGUGGGUCACGCACCUGUGACGGUGAAGAGCUUGCGAACGACAGCGAUGCUGAACACCCUCCUCUCGAUCAGGCUGUCGGCGGCGAAGCCCGACAAUGUGGAGACCAGCCAGCCACCGAGGUAGGGCAGCGCGGACAGGAAGCCGUUCUGGGGAAAGAAACCAGGCGGAUUCAGAGAAAUCAAAGUCUGUGUGUUCAGGUUAUGCAGCCGAAAUGCUUUUAAUGGCGUGACAUCCACAUUAGUUUAUAAAUCUUUGACACAGAGUUGUUCAAAGUACUGUUUCAUUGACAGACAGGAAAUAAACACUGUGGUGCUGUGGGUGUUUAUUACUGUGCAAAACCCAAUGAUAUUUAAUUUUCGAUGAUGUAAAACAGAGACACCAGCAAAACAAACAGCAUCUUAAGAUGAAUGAUUCAAGAACAAAACAACUUUUACAACUCAUCAUUCAUCAACUAACACCAGUCAGCGUUAGUUACUGUAAGUUACUAAUUAUUAGCAUGUGUUUCUGGAGACACGUGACCCUGAACUAAAAGCUGUCUCUCUGCGCAUCUACUGUGUUUCUUUUGGAAAACAGCCAAAGCAAAGUCAAGCUCACCGAUUUGAGGUCAAAGUGCAAGACGUUGUCCAUGUAUGUGGGCAGAGAGGUGAGCAGCGUGUAGAAGGACCAGUUCCAGCACAUCUGAGUCACGAUGAUGGCCCACAGCGGGACGGACAUCAUCAUUUGCAGCAGAGGCACGGACCAGCCGUGAGGCGUGCCCUGUGGACACACACACACACACACACACACACACACACACACACAUAUGCACACGCACGCACGCAUACAUGCACACGCAUACGCGCACACACACGCACGCACACGCACACACACACGCAUACAAGCAUACACACACACACACACACACACACACACAUAUGCACACGCACGCACGCAUACAUGCACACGCGUACGCGCACACACACGCACGCACGCACACGCACACACACACGCAUACAAGCAUACACACACACACACACACACACACACACACACACACAAACACACACACGCAUACAAGCACACACACACACGCAUACAAGCAUACACACACACACACACACACACACACACACGCAUACAAGCAUACACACACACACACACACACACACACACACACACAUACAAGCACACACACACACACACACACACACACACACACACACACACACA